CCAACACUUGGGUCAUCCAGGUGAGCUGGACUUGUUCUGGCUUUACUUGGCUCUGUCUUUGUGGCGUACGGGAGCUGAAUACCCCACAAGGGGUUUGAGGCAUAUUCUCUUUCCACAGUGUUGGAGAAUAACCAAGUCCCCGGUCCUUUGUGACUGGUGUGGACUGAACCUUGCAUAUUCCAUCAACUUUCUGUAGUCACUCGUUGACCUUGACAGAGGAGAAAGACCAUGCAAGAUACAUUU
rnacentral:snoRNA from 1 species